GCUGGGCUCAGCUGUGUGCGCCUGUAGUCCCAGCUACUUGGGAGGCUGAGGCAGGAGAAUGGAUUGAGCCCAGGAGUUCUGGGCUGUAGUGCGUUAUGCUGAUGGGUGUCCACACUAAGUUCGGCAUCUGUAUAGUGACCUCCUGGGAGCGGGGGACCACCAGGUUGCUUAAGGAGGGGUGAGCUGGCCCAGGUCAGAAACGGAGCAGGUCAGAGCUCCUGUGCUGAUCAGUAGUGGGAUGGUGCCCGUGAAUAGCCACUGCACUCCAGCCUGGGUAACAUAGCGAGACCCUGUCUCUU
ensembl:misc_RNA Metazoa_SRP Metazoan signal recognition particle RNA